rnacentral:ncRNA from 1 species
CGCCCGGACGGAUCCCGUGGGGGGAAUCCGACCCGGGACAUGGGAAGCGCCCCGCGCUCUGGA